AUUGAAUAUAUAAUUCUAUUUGGUUGAGCUAAUUUUUGCUGGAUAAAAUAUUAUUGAUUUUAGUAAGGUUAACUGAAAUUAUAAGGGGGGUAAUAGUUUAUUGGUAAAGUGAUUGAAUUAGUGAAGUUAUUAAAAUGGGAAUUAAGUUGUUUACCUUUUGUAUCAGGGUUGAAUUAAGAGGAGAAAGAUUUUUUUGUCUCGAAUAAUUAAGAGCGAUUUAUUUAUUUAAGUUGACGUGGUAAAUUCAUUUAGAAUAAGUAGAUGGUAAUGAUAUGUUAGUCGUUUAAUUAGGAUUCUAGUUUUUGAAUAGAUUAAUUUAAUUAAAUUCUGAAUUUUUGUUUCCUGUUUAAUGAAGAUUGGUUUAGAUUAAAAUUAUGAGGAGUCUAGUUCUUAUAGUUUUUAUAUUUGUUUAGUGGAAUAAAUUUUUUUGGUUUUAGAAUUGGAAUUUAAAUUUGGUUUGUGAAAAAAAAGAUUUAUUGUUCUUGAUUUAUUGAUUGAAUUAAGUUUUUAUUCAAGUGAAAUUUGAAUUAUAGAGUAUUUGGAAUAAUGUUUAGAUUAGUAAAUUAGUGAAUUUAAUUUAAAGAAUUCGGCAAAUUGAUUGUUCACCUGUUUAACAAAAACAUGUCUUGAUUUAUAGAAUAUCAAGUCUAAUCUGCUCACUGAAUUAUUUUAAAGAGCCGCAGUAUAUUGACUGUGCAAAGGUAGCAUAAUCAAUUGUUUCUUAAUUGGAAACUGGAAUGAAAGAUUGGAUGAAAUAAUAACUGUUUCGGAUUAAUAAAUUGAAAUUAAAAUUUAAGUGAAAAUUCUUAAUUGGGUUAGAAAGACGAGAAGACCCUAUAAAGUUUUAUUUAAGGGGGGGUUUAAAUGAUUUUUUUUUGAAUUUAAUUGGGGUGAUUUUUUAAAAUGGAUAACUUAAUUUAAUAGGUACCAAUGUUAAUGAAUAUGUUGAUCUAGUAUUGCUAAAAAUAAGAUUAAAUUACUUUAGGGAUAACAGCGUAAUUUUAAUUAAAAGUUCAUAUUUAUAUUGAAGUUUGCGACCUCGAUGUUGAAUUAAGAUAAAUUAGUGGAGAAGGAGCUACUGAUUUUAGUCUGUUCGACUAUUGAAUCUUACAUGAUUUGAGUUCAGACCGGCGUGAGCCAGGUCAGUUUCUAUCUUUUAUUUGGUUGAAUGGGACAGUACGAAAGGACAUUUUGUUUGUAUAAAAUGAUUGGGUUUGAAUAAAAUUAA
rnacentral:rRNA from 1 species